UAUUAUUAUUAUUAUUAUUACAAGCAUGUUGGUGCAUGCUACGUGCACUGGAACUAGGCGUUGCUGUUUGCAGGAGGUGGGUGGAUGUCUCCCCUACCCUUCUGCUCUCUAGCUACCCCACCUCCACCCAGUGGACAAAUCAGCUUGCAGGGGGAGGGUAGGUGUGUAAUGUCUCUCUCCCCCAUUGUCACUUGAAUUUUUCUAUAUUUUGGGUAAGUAACAAGGUCCAUUAAGUAUCACCAGUUUUAUAAGGCACUAAUCUAAUGUAACUUGCACUUAAUACUUAAUGUUCACAUUAAGAGAUUUACGUACUUAAAAAUGUACCAUAUCUGGAGUGGUUGCAUGUUGAGAAUAUUGUUUUCUGUGAUGCAAGAUUAAUUUGAUCAAUUAUUACACUUUUUUUCCUUCUUUCAGAUCCAUGUCUUGGUGUUGAUGCCGAGACUACAUUGGGGUCAAGGCUUUGUCCAGAAUGGAAGAUUUUCCCAGCCAGGGUCUAAUGGCUGUACUCUCAUUUACCUGGUACUUAGUAGUACCUGAAAUUGCUUCUGUUUGGAAGUCCCUAGUCUGCGGACGUCACUAGACAAAGGAAAUGGAUGCUGUUUAUGGGUUUCACUUCUGGACAGAGCAGCUUAACGUUUCAAAUUUUAUAACGAUUCAUCAUCAUAUGGCUAGUUAAUGCUAGAUGGAUAUUCUAACAGUUCCUGCCACAAUAAAAGUACUAUAUGUGCAGGUCUUUGGAUAUGAUUACAUCUACAGCAUUUUUGGAGGUUUACCAUACAGAGUUACUUAGGACUCAAGAACAAUUUUGAAUUAUCAAGAUAUGCAUUUUAACGUCCAUCUUCUGAUUGGAUGAGCAGACUCAGCUUGAGGAUUGAAAAGGAUAUUGGACAGUACAUAUCACUCUUCUGUCCCUUCACUGAAUUACGAUAUUAGUAUCAGCAGCGGGAUUGUCAGUGUCGUUCCCUAGCGCAAAACAUGAGGCAGGUGAUUGAUCAUCUCCCAAUUAAAACAUCCAUGAUUUUUCUUUUGCUAUCACUGUCUCCCACACUCCAGUGACAAGGCCUUGACUGGGACAAUAUGCUAAUGCUUGGGUGGUUUAUAAUUGACCACUCAUUGUUUUCUACUCGGUCAGUCCAGUCAUACAGAUCUUUAAUAAUUAGUUCAUGUAUACUCCACUGUAGUAGUAUCUUCCUUCUCCAAAAAAUAGUAUCCUACCAUCCUCCUUCCAUAAUUGCUUCAUUCCCAACUCAGUGCAUAUACUAUAAAAUAUUGGGUAAAAUACUAUGUGUAGAAUUCUGUAUCUCUUCAUAGUCAUGACACUUUCUCCAAGACCCCUGGUUUUGUUGUGGCUAACAAGAAGUGUAUGUAUUUCAUAACAUCUUUUAGUAUCUCAGGUUAUUCAUGUUAAAUUGCAAUUGAUGGCCUUUGUGGUUUCAUUCAACUAUUUGACAUCUGAAAGAGUCGUGUAGGCUGUUGUCACUUGCAAAAUGACAAUGUAACUACGCUUCUUUAGUUUCACCCUAUAGGUCAAGUUACAUUUUCUUCAGAGUUAGUUAAUUUCAAUGAAUAGCAUCUUUAAAAGCUUAUGUCGUCAAAGGGAUGGAUACUCUACAUUCACCAUUAAUUACUUUGGCUUUUCUUUGUUUCAUUUGAAAUUCACAUCACGAUCGAUAGUAUUUACCCAUUCGUCCAAAAUUGAGAAGAACAUCCAGAUGCUGUCAUGCCUGUCACUAUCUUCUUACUAUUCGCAUCACUCAGCUGCUUCUUCAAGGAUACUACUUCCUUACUCGAGCAACAACUUUUUCUUUUGACUUGAUUAUGACACUUUGACACUUGUGUAAUGUUUUGUUACAACAUUCAGUAAUGCUGGCUAUUAAUUAGUCCUGUGCUCAAAGCCUGUCUAUAUAUAUAUGGCUUACGAAAAGCCAUUACGUAUAUUGUGCAAAGAAAAUCAAUUGAAAAUAUUUGAAUGUGUUGCAAAUUGGUUUGAAGAGAGCCAUAAGUUAUCCGUAGAUGUUUAUGUGUGAGAGUGUACAGGUAAAAGUCAUUGUUAAAUCUGAAGGCACUGUGCAAGUGAUUCAUAAGGUUUCAAAUGCAAGUGCUUGUUAAAUUUGCAGGUACAAGUGAUGGCUAAAUGUACGUGCCAGUGCUUGCUGAAUUGUUAGAUUUACCAGUACAAGGGGCCUGUGAAGUUUGCAGGUACAAGCAUUUUGCUAAGAUUACUGGUACAAGUGGCUGUUGAAAUGCUGAUACAAGUGACUGAUAGAUGCAUAGGCAUGUGUGUUAAUGGAUGAAGUUAUGAUAAACAUCUGUUAUCUGUUACAGUCAUGUCCAUCUACUGAACUUUUAACAGUUAGCUAUAUGUAGUAUGUAGC